AGACCCGAAACCCGGUGAUCUAGCCAUGGGCAGGUUGAAGGUUGGGUAACACUAACUGGAGGACCGAACCGACUAAUGUUGAAAAAUUAGCGGAUGACCUGUGGCUGGGGGUGAAAGGCCAAUCAAACCGGGAGAUAGCUGGUUCUCCCCGAAAGCUAUUUAGGUAGCGCCUCGUGAAUUCAUCUCCGGGGGUAGAGCACUGUUUCGGCUAGGGGGCCAUCCCGGCUUACCAACCCGAUGCAAACUGCGAAUACCGGAGAAUGUUAUCACGGGAGACACACGGCGGGUGCUAACGUCCGUCGUGAAGAGGGAAACAACCCAGACCGCCAGCUAAGGUCCCAAAGUCAUGGUUAAGUGGGAAACGAUGUGGGAAGGCCCAGACAGCCAGGAUGUUGGCUUAGAAGCAGCCAUCAUUUAAAGAAAGCGUAAUAGCUCACUGGUCGAGUCGGCCUGCGCGGAAGAUGUAACGGGGCUAAACCAUGCACCGAAGCUGCGGCAGCGAACGUAUCACUUAAAGCGAUUCAGCGGGUUACGAUUGACGGAGCGAAGCGACGUCAAAGCGUAUACAAAGUCGAGUCGGUUUAAGGAUACGUUCGUUGGGUAGGGGAGCGUUCUGUAAGCCUGUGAAGGUGUGUCGUGAGGCAUGCUGGAGGUAUCAGAAGUGCGAAUGCUGACAUAAGUAACGAUAAAGCGGGUGAAAAGCCCGCUCGCCGGAAGACCAAGGGUUCCUGUCCAACGUUAAUCGGGGCAGGGUGAGUCGACCCCUAAGGCGAGGCCGAAAGGCGUAGUCGAUGGGAAACGGGUUAAUAUUCCCGUACUUGGUGUUACUGCGAAGGGGGGACGGAGAAGGCUAUGUUGGCCGGGCGACGGUUGUCCCGGUUUAAGCGUGUAGGCUGGUUUUCCAGGCAAAUCCGGAAAAUCAAGGCUGAGGCGUGAUGACGAGGCACUACGGUGCUGAAG
rnacentral:rRNA from 2 species